rnacentral:sRNA from 1 species
AAGAAGCUGAAGGAGAAAAAAGAUGAAUUGGAUUCUUUAAUAACAGCUAUAACUACAAAUGGAGCUCAUCCUAGUAAAUGUGUUACCAUACAGAGAACAUUGGAUGGGAGGCUUCAGGUGGCUGGCCGGAAAGGAUUUCCUCAUGUGAUCUAUGCCCGUCUCUGGAGGUGGCCUGAUCUUCACAAAAAUGAACUAAAACAUGUUAAAUAUUGUCAGUAUGCGUUUGACUUAAAAUGUGAUAGUGUCUGUGUGAAUCCAUAUCACUACGAACGAGUUGUAUCACCUGGAAUUGAUCUCUCAGGAUUAACACUGCAGAGUAAUGGUAGGUAAUCUGUUUCUUAUUACUUUCUCUUUGUUUUGUCUUAUCCUCUCUGUUUUUUUGUUGACCUAGAAUUAGUUUGUGUGAGCGGCAGUAACAUUAACAAGAAAAUAACUUACUGCUUUGGAAAUGUAGAUUUUGAGGUUAGGGGCAUUUAAAACUGGAUUUAAAUUGGCUAUUGCUCUUUGUAUUUGAACUGCAAUUUAUGAACUAAAGUACUGUAAAAA